UGGGGAAUAUUGGACAAUGGGGGCAACCCUGAUCCAGCAAUGCCGCGUGUGUGAAGAAGGUUUUCGGAUUGUAAAGCACUUUCGACGGGGACGAUGAUGACGGUACCCGUAGAAGAAGCCCCGGCUAACUUCGUGCCAGCAGCCGCGGUAAUACGAAGGGGGCUAGCGUUGCUCGGAAUGACUGGGCGUAAAGGGCGUGUAGGCGGUUUGUACAGUCAGAUGUGAAAUCCCCGGGCUUAACCUGGGAGCUGCAUUUGAUACGUGCAGACUAGAGUGUGAGAGAGGGUUGUGGAAUUCCCAGUGUAGAGGUGAAAUUCGUAGAUAUUGGGAAGAACACCGGUGGCGAAGGCGGCAACCUGGCUCAUAACUGACGCUGAGGCGCGAAAGCGUGGGGAGCAAACAG
rnacentral:rRNA from 1 species